AUUGAACGCUGGCGGCAGGCUUAACACAUGCAAGUCGAACGAGUGGCGGACGGGUGAGUAAUGCUUGGGAAACUGCCCGCAGGAGGGGGAUAACUACUGGAAAGGGUAGCUAAUCCUGCAUUCCAUCGGCUGUGCCCAGUUGGGAUUAGCUAGUAGGUGGGGUAACGGCUCACCUAGGCGACGAUCCCUAGCUGGUCUGAGAGGCUGACCAACCACGCUGGAACUGAGACACGGUCGAGACUCCUACGGGAGGCAGCGGUUGGGAAUAUUGCACAAGGGGGCCAAGCCUGAUGCAGCAAAGCCGCGUAUAUGAAGAAGGCCUUCGGGUUGUAGAGUACUUUCAGCGAGUGGGCGGUACUCGAAGAAGAAGCACCGGCUAACUCCGUGCCAGCAGCCGCGGUAAUAC
rnacentral:rRNA from 1 species